UUUGGUUCUUCUCUUUCUUACUCCUUUAAUAAGAAGCUCUAAUAAAUGACUUUUUAAAACUUUAAGAAAAUUCAAUGUGAUUGUCUUCUCAGAAAAUGGAAAUAAGAGGUAGAAACUAAACACUCUCUAGAGAAAUAGCUUCCUAUUCAUCUUUAAACAUUAUAGCAGACCUUAUCUGAAUACACUCAGAACAAACUUCAGUCCCAGAAUGGCAUCACAUAUUGCUUUAUCAAGUUUGUUGAAUGACUUCAAGUAGAAAAGUGCCGAAGGAGAAAUUAAGACAUUAGAAGUCCACGGUUUCCAAGCAAAUCUUUAAAUCCUUAUUAAUUGUUCACAGUAGUCCAAAAUCCUUGUCACAAAUGACUAAAGUUUAUUGAAGUGUCAUUUUAGAAGCUUUUUUUUUGGUAUGGGGGAUCGAACUCGGCAAGGCAGGCGGCAGAACCACUGAGCUAAAUAAAUCCCCAGCCCUUGAAGUGUCAUUUUAAAAAAAGACUAACUCCAAGUUGAUGUCUGGUUAAGUUUCCGACUUAGGAACAUUCGAGUUGCAAACUUUCACAGAUACAAGCAGACCUAGCAUUAUGAACAUUCACAGAUGUGAACAUUCAUAGAUGGGAACAAAUUGUGAAAGUAGCUCAAGUGUUUUCUAGACACUGUCACAGUUGUGCUGCUGUGUACAGUGUGGUAGUGUACAGUAAGUAGUACAGUGCUCAAUCAGAGCCCAGGAUGUCUGGAAGCAAGAGGAAAAGCAGUAGCGAUGAGGACGGGACUGCUAGGAAAUGCAAAGCAAUAAACAUGGAAACAAAUUGCAAGUAUAGUAGUAUAAGACUCACUUUGUCAGACUUGAAAACAAAUCCAACUUAUGAAUGUUUUCCUGAAGUGGAACUCAUUCAUAAGUCAGGGACUUACUAUAUCCUGAAAGGACUCUCUUUAAAGGGACACUUAAAUCACAUGCUUAAUUUUUUUAUAGUGGUAUAAAAACAUCAUAUAAUCUUGAUGAAGUUUAAAGAGCUACUGAUUAGAAAUUUUAAUAUUGCCUGUAUCUGUAAAACAUGAAAUUCUUUCUUAGUGGUGCCAAGUGAGCUACUUUACUCCCUCUUAUUUGGUGGUAGACUGGUACUAAGGCCUUUGCCCUGAAAUACAUCCCCCAGCCUUUGAUUUUUUAAAGACAGGGUAUUGCUAAGUUGCCCAGGAUACGCUUGAACUCAUGAUCCUCCUGCCUUGGACUCCCAAGGUGCUGUACUCCCAGGUGUGCACUACCAUCCCCAGUUUCUCUUCUCUUUACUGUAAAAAUAUAUUAGAACAAAAAUUACCCCAAAAUUGCAGAUGCUAUGUGAAUUACAAAGCUACUGGCAGCAGUAUGAUAUACAUACCUAUUCUAACAAAAAGUACCCAAUGGGCAAUGAAGGUUAUAACUAUUGUGGUACAGGGAACUGAACUCAGGG
ensembl:lncRNA